UAAUACGAAGGGGGCUAGCGUUGUUCGGAAUCACUGGGCGUAAAGGGCGCGUAGGCGGCCGGAUAAGUCGGGGGUGAAAGCCUGUGGCUCAACCACAGAAUUGCCUUCGAUACUGUCUGGCUUGAGACCGGAAGAGGUCAGUGGAACUGCGAGUGUAGAGGUGAAAUUCGUAGAUAUUCGCAAGAACACCAGUGGCGAAGGCGGCUGACUGGUCCGGAUCUGACGCUGAGGCGCGAAAGCGUGGGGAGCAAACAGG
rnacentral:rRNA from 1 species